AGACAACACUAGAAGAGAUGGUUUUGUGGGUAUCUGAAGUUCUAUAUCCUGAAAGCUUAUCUGAGCACCCUGGACAACUUUCAGGAAGACAGUUCUGGUCUGUAGCAAUUAACACAUGGUCAUCCUCAGAAAAAGGAGAUACCCAUAACUUAAAAUGCAGGAACCAAGAGAUUUGAGCCUAGACAUUUGGAUGAAAAGCGAUUUCCACCUGGAGAAAGUCACUGCCCUUCUGUGCAGAGGGAACAUGAAGGAGAACCCACCUCUGCUGCUUUUGAAGUGCAGUGGCUUUCACUUGGAAUGGAC
rnacentral:lncRNA from 1 species